AGGGAAUCUUCCACAAUGGACGCAAGUCUGAUGGAGCAACGCCGCGUGAGUGAAGAAGGUUUUCGGACCGUAAAGCUCUGUUGUUGGUGAAGAAGGAUAGAGGUAGUAACUGGCCUUUAUUUGACGGUAAUCAACCAGAAAGUCACGGCUAACUACGUGCCAGCAGCCGCGGUAAUACGUAGGUGGCAAGCGUUGUCCGGAUUUAUUGGGCGUAAAGCGAGCGCAGGCGGAAGAAUAAGUCUGAUGUGAAAGCCCUCGGCUUAACCGAGGAAUUGCAUCGGAAACUGUUUUUCUUGAGUGCAGAAGAGGAGAGUAGAACUCCAUGUGUAGCGGUGGGAUGCGUAGAUAUAUGGAAGAAUACCAGUGGCGAAGGCGGCUCUCUGGUCUGCAACUGACGCUGAGGCUCGAAAGCAUGGGUAGCGAACAGGAUUAGAUACCCUGGUAGUCCAUGCCGUAAACGAUGAGUGCUAAGUGUU
rnacentral:rRNA from 1 species